AUUGAACGCUGGCGGCAGGCCUAACACAUGCAAGUCGAACGAGUGGCGGACGGGUGAGUAAUAUAUCGGAACGUACCGAGUAAUGGGGGAUAACCAAUCGAAAGAUUGGCUAAUACCGCAUAUUAUUCGAGCGGCCGAUAACUGAUUAGCUAGUUGGUGGGGUAACGGCUCACCAAGGCGACGAUCCCUAGCUGGUCUGAGAGGAUGACCAGCCACACUGGAACUGAGACACGGUCCAGACUCCUACGGGAGGCAGCAGUGGGGAAUAUUGCACAAUGGGCGCAAGCCUGAUGCAGCCAUGCCGCGUGUAUGAAGAAGGCCUUCGGGUUGUAAAGUACUUUCAGCGGGGAGGCGUUACCCGCAGAAGAAGCACCGGCUAACUCCGUGCCAGCAGCCGCGGUAAUAC
rnacentral:rRNA from 1 species